rnacentral:rRNA from 1 species
GACGAACGCUGGCGGCGUGCCUAAUACAUGCAAGUAGAACGCAGUUGCGAACGGGUGAGUAACACGUAGGUAACUGCCUCAUAGCGGGGGAUAACUAUUGGAAACGAUAGCUAAUACCCCAUACUGUGAGAUGGACCUGCGUUGUAUUAGCUAGUUUGUGAGGUAAAGGCUCACCAAGGCGACGGUACAUAGCCGACCUGAGAGGGAGAAACGCCACAAUUGUAACGGGAACCUGGCCAGGAUCCUUCGGGAGGCAGCCGGAGGGAAUCUUUGGCAAUGGGAGGAAGGCUGACCGGGCAAAGCCGCGUGAAUGAAGAAGGUUUUCGGAGCGUAAAGCUAUGUUGUGAGAGAAGCGGUAACUAACCAGAAAGGAACGGCUAACUACGUGCCAGCAGCCGCGGUAAUUC